GACGAACGCUGGCGGCGUGCCUAAUACAUGCAAGUAGAACGCUGAAGCUUGGUGCUUGCACCGAGCGGAUGAGUUGCGAACGGGUGAGUAACGCGUAGGUAACCUGCCUGUUAGCGGGGGAUAACUAUUGGAAACGAUAGCUAAUACCGCAUAAGAGUAUAUGUUGCAUGACACUUGCUUAAAAGGUGCAAUUGCAUCACUACCAGGUGGACCUGCGUUGUAUUAGCUAGUUGGUGAGGUAACCGCCCAACAAGGCAAAGAUACAUAGGCGAACUGAGAGGGUGAUCCGCCAAAAUGGGACUGGAAAAAGGGUCAGAAUCCUUAGGGGAGGAACAGGAGGGAAUCCUUCGGAAAGGACGGAAGGCUGGCCGAGCAACGCCCGGGGGAUGAAGAAGGUUUUCGGGUCGUAAAGCUCUGUUGUAAGAGGAGAAAGAGAUGGGGAGUGGAAAGUUCACAUUGUGACGGUAUCUAACCAGAAAGGGACGGCUAACUACGUG
rnacentral:rRNA from 1 species